rnacentral:rRNA from 1 species
UACAGAGGGGGCAAGCGUUAUUCGGAAUUAUUGGGCGUAAAGGGCGCGUAGGCGGCUUUUCAAGUGACGGGUGAAAGCCCUCGGCUUAACCGAGGAACUGCCUGUCAGACUGGAAGGCUUGAGACCGGGAGAGGUGAGUGGAAUUCCCAGUGUAGCGGUGAAAUGCGUAGAUAUUGGGAGGAACACCAGUGGCGAAGGCGGCUCACUGGACCGGAACUGACGCUGAGACGCGAAAGCGUGGGGAGCAAACAGG